GACGAACGCUGGCGGCGUGCCUAAUACAUGCAAGUAGAACGCUGAAGGAGGAGCUUGCUUCUCUGGAUGAGUUGCGAACGGGUGAGUAACGCGUAGGUAACCUGCCUGGUAGCGGGGGAUAACUAUUGGAAACGAUAGCUAAUACCGCAUAAGAGUAGAUGUUGCAUGACAUUUGCUUAAAAGGUGCAAUUGCAUCACUACCAGAUGGACCUGCGUUGUAUUAGCUAGUUGGUGGGGUAACGGCUCACCAAGGCGACGAUACAUAGCCGACCUGAGAGGGUGGUCGGCCACACUGGGACUGAGACACGGCCCAGACUCCUUCGGGAGGCAGCAGUGGGGAAUCGGCGGCAAUGGGCGGAAGUCUGACCGAGCAACGCCGCGGGAGGGAAGAAGGUUGUCGGAUCGGAAAGCUCGGUUGUAAGAGAAGAACGAGUGUGAGAGUGGAAAGUUCACACUGUGACGGUAUCUUACCAGAAAGGGACGGCUAACUACGUG
rnacentral:rRNA from 1 species